CUAAGCCUUGAUCACAGAGUAAGCAACAGAGAAGAAAUAGUAUUUUCUCACAUCAGACAAGUGACUUCAACUAUCAUUAACCAUCUCUGUAGAAAAGUAAGAAAGUGUCACAAAAGCAUUCAGAUUGUUUUAUCUGAUGCUGAGAAUAUAAAAAAACUAAACCUAAGUAAACUAACUCUUCUUUUAAGGAGAAAUCAAGCCAUGGAAGAGAAUCUAUAUAAACAUCUGUUUUGAUCCACACAUUUGUUUUUAUGCAAAUAUUUAAUAAA
rnacentral:lncRNA from 1 species